GAUGAACGCUGGCGGCGUGCCUAACACAUGCAAGUCGGAACGAAGCGCCUGGCCCCGACUUCUUCGGAACGAGGAGCCUUGCGACUGAGUGGCGGACGGGUGAGUAACGCGUGGGCAACCUGCCUUGCACUGGGGAUAACAGCCAGAAAUGGCUGCUAAUACCGCAUAAGACCGAAAGCGCCGCAUGGCGCGGCGGCCAAAGCCCGGCGGUGCAAGGAUGGGGCCCGCGUCUGAUUAGGUAGUUGGCGGGGGUUAACGGCCACCGAAGCCGACGAUCAGUAGCCGACCUGA
rnacentral:rRNA from 1 species